rnacentral:rRNA from 1 species
UAGGGAAUCUUCGGCAAUGGGGGGAACCCUGACCGAGCAACGCCGCGUGAGUGAAGAAGGUUUUCGGAUCGUAAAGCUCUGUUGUUAAGGAAGAACGUGUGUGAGAGUGGAAAGUUCACACAGUGACGGUACUUAACCAGAAAGGGACGGCUAACUACGUGCCAGCAGCCGCGGUAAUACGUAGGUCCCGAGCGUUGUCCGGAUUUAUUGGGCGUAAAGCGAGCGCAGGCGGUUAGAUAAGUCUGAAGUGAAAGGCAGUGGCUCAACCAUUGUAGGCUUUGGAAACUGUUUAACUUGAGUGCAAGAGGGGAGAGUGGAAUUCCAUGUGUAGCGGUGAAAUGCGUAGAUAUAUGGAGGAACACCGGUGGCGAAAGCGGCUCUCUGGCUUGUAACUGACGCUGAGGCUCGAAAGCGUGGGGAGCAAACAGGAUUAGAUACCCUGGUAGUCCACGCCGUAAACGAUGAGUGCUAAGUGUUGGUCUCAUAAGAGAUCAGUGCUGCAGCUAACGCAUUAAGCACUCCGCCUGGGGAGUACGACCGCAAGGUUG